rnacentral:rRNA from 1 species
GUCGUAACAAGGUCGCUGUAGGUGAACCUGCAGCGGGAUCAUUACCGGCUGCUGGGGGUUUCGGCCCCCAUCUUCCACCCGUGUCUUCUCACCGUCGAAUGUUGCUUCGGCGGGGGGCUCCUUUGGGGGCCCAAGCCCGCCGGAGAUCAAUUAUAGGUCGAUCGAAUUUCAUUGAACGUCUGAACCGGAAAUGAUUAGAAUCCAACUAAAACUUUCAGCAACGGAUCUCUUGGUUCCGGCAUCGAUGAAGAACGCAGCGAAAUGCGAUAAGUAAUGUGAAUUGCAGAACCCAGUGAACCAUCGAAUCUUUGAACGCACAUUGCGCCCCCCGGCAUCCCGGGGGGCAUGCCCGUCCGAGCGUCAUUGCCAUCUCGAGCCCCGGGCUCGGUGCUGGGCUGUGUCCCCCGGGAGAACCCGGGGGACAGGCCCCGAAAGCAGUGGCGGCCCGGGGGCGACCGCCAGCGCGAUGGCGACAUCGCUGGGCAAGCGUCGCUCCGGGCUGGCGCCAGGCCAACCGAACGAACAACACCACUUUGACCUCGGAUCGGGCAGGGGUACCCGCUGAACUUAAGC